AGUUCGCGUCUCUUGGUGGGAGUAGAUUGCUCCAGUGUACUGUCCCCAGGGGAGCGCUUUGCUUUCUCUCAUUAUAGUUCUGAGGCCCUAGCUACUCACUUUGCAAACUCCAGGCUCCGGUCGCGCACGGGACGAACUGCGGGGAGUGAGCCGCGCGGGCCGCCGUAGUCAGCUGCUAAGAGCAGGAAGAGUCCGAGCGGUGGGCGGAGUCUGCAGGAUGGCACCGGACCCCUGGUUCUCCACAUACGAUUCUACUUGUCAAAUUGCCCAAGAAAUUGCUGAGAAAAUUCAACAACGAAAUCAGUAUGAAAGAAAAGGUGAAAAGGCACCAAAGCUUACCGUGACAAUCAGAGCUUUGUUGCAGAACCUGAAGGAAAAGAUCGCCCUUUUGAAGGACUUAUUGCUAAGAGCUGUGUCAACACAUCAGAUAACACAGCUUGAAGGGGACCGAAGACAGAACCUCUUGGAUGAUCUUGUAACUCGAGAGAGACUACUUCUGGCAUCCUUUAAGAAUGAGGGUGCCGAACCAGAUCUAAUCAGGUCCAGCCUGAUGAGUGAAGAGGCUAAGCGAGGAGCACCCAACCCUUGGCUCUUUGAGGAGCCAGAGGAGACCAGAGGCUUGGGUUUUGAUGAAAUCCGGCAACAGCAGCAGAAAAUUAUCCAAGAACAGGACGCAGGCCUUGAUGCCCUUUCCUCUAUCAUAAGUCGCCAAAAACAAAUGGGGCAGGAAAUUGGGAAUGAAUUGGAUGAACAAAAUGAGAUAAUUGACGACCUUGCCAACCUAGUGGAGAACACAGAUGAAAAACUUCACAAUGAAACCAGGCGGGUAAACAUGGUGGACAGAAAGUCAGCCUCUUGUGGGAUGAUCAUGGUGAUUUUACUGCUGCUCGUGGCUAUCGUGGUUGUUGCAGUCUGGCCGACCAACUGAUGGCAGUAAAGAGACCACCAGCAGUGACACCUGCCAAUGACAGAUGCAAGCCCAACACCCUUUUGAAAUGACUUGCCGUCCCGCUGAGGCUCCAGUCUGAUAAGGCAGCCUGUCUGGCCAACUGAGACCUGGAUGUCAUCCCUGCCCACCCACUGUCAGGCGUUGUCAUUUCAGCAGAGACUUACACCUGAGACUGAUUGGGACACCCGGAGACCACUCACGUAUGUACCUGCCCUGGCUUUGACCCCAGGCUCUGAGAGCCUAGCUCCCAUCCGCAGAGCCAGACCCCCAAGGCAGCAGGGCUGGCCCUGUUUCUUCCUGAGCAGAAGCUAAUGGCAUCUCCAGUCAGCUCUCCACACAGCAGGGAAGGGGCUUUCCAUACCUUCGAAGGAAGGGCCUAUUGAGCCUGCGUUGCUGAGGGGCUAGACCGGGCCCAUGGCUGAGGGUUGCCUUCAAAACAGCUGGGUGCAGAAAUUAUAGCUUCCUAGUGACGAUCGGCCCCACUUUGCGUGGCAACACAAUAUGUUCCUAAUGACUGAAUUGUUUAUUUAAUAAAGAAAUCACAACCAUUUGGAGGUUUAAAUAUAGCCUCUCAGAAACCAAGUGAGCUCAGCUCUUGGUGGCUGCGUGGUGCUGGCACUGGCCCAGUCUCUGCACCGCACGAAGCCUUUAGCAAUCGCUUGAAAAAAAAUAUUUUGCAAGCUCUCUUGAGUUUCACUAACCCUGCUGUAGUUUCUUGAGUCUCUACUUGGCUUUCAUAGAAGAAGCCAGUUAUGUAAAAGUCAGAAACUACCUGCAGGUUCUGAAUCAAAUUGGGAGGGUCAAAGGUGGCUCUCCGCCCACCCGGGGGUUGCAGGUAAGGCAAAGUGGGAGGGGACCCCUUUCCCCCCACUCUGUCUUGGAACUCCAGGGAAUGGCAAGGAUGGGUCCCUGGAGUGGUUUCCUGCAGCCUGCAAUACAGACGACUGUCCCAUUUGAGAACCUUUUAGCUCAAAACAGCACGGCCAGCAAGGCCCUAGGACAUUCCAAGCAAAACUGCUCUUUUCCUGCCUUCUCGGGGGAGUUAGGGCUCUGUCUCUGAGGCUCUGGGUAAAACCCAGGCUCUGACUUGCAGGGGAGUUCUUCGGCCUGAAGCCAUAUUCCUCAAACUCCCCGAAAACUCCAUCCUUCCCUUGCCUCCCCACACGCCCACCUCCCACAGCCCAGGCCACCAAUCAAGACUGCGAGACGGCAUAGU